UGCGCCCCCGCACUCAGCCCUGAUGUCGCCGCCAGGUGCGUUCUCUCUCCCUUCUCCUGCGCCCCUCCCUCUCCACCUCGCAUGGCGCCGUGCCGCACAUCCGAGGCAAGAUCCGGGUCCAAAGACAACGCCGUUCUCUCCACGUCUUCACGGCGCUCCCAACUCCGCUGCCGCCGCAGCCGCCGGAGGCGACUGGCGAGGUGGUGGCGGGGGCGCGGUGGACCUGGUGGUGGCGCAGUGGCGGCGGGAGAACAUGCUCAAGAGCCCCUCGGGCUGCACGAUGCCGCGGCGGCAUUCGUCUUCAUCGCGCUCGUGCUCGUCGCCUCCAACCAGCACGGGGACUGGAUGGAGUUCGAUUCGAGUUUUUUUUCCCUUAAUGGCAUCUGAGGGUGUGCUGCAGUGUCGCUGGGUAUCUUCUCGCGAUUACGGCGCUGGCAUUCGCCAACUCGCUUGCACAGGUGCUGCAGCAUGCGUUUCGGAUGCGUCGCAGUGUCAACCCGGUCCCGGCGGCGCCGGGAGGCUACUCGAUUUCGCCAGUGAUCAGUUAGUAAGGACCCAGAGGAUUGCUAUAUAUCUGUACUGACAUAGCAAGGAGCAGCAACUUACUCGGGUGUAUCCAAUGCAAGAAUGGAGAUUCUUCCCUUACACCUUUAGGAGCGUUGGAGUUGGUGGCUGGUAUAAACAUUUGAAGCACGGUUGUAAGCAUUAGCUGGUCAUAAUGUUGAGCCAAACGAUUCUGUGGCCCUUGGUGACUUGAGUGGAAUGCCAUCAGCAGUAGAUCUGAGGGGAAUUUCUUCACCAACAUAACCAUCCUCCUCCGCAUGUUUAGUUAGUUGGAUAGGUAAGUUCGUUGAGAACUGUGAUGACAAUGAAUAAGAAUUUACCAAUGGGUUCCAUUUCAAGUCAAGAUGAGAUGAAAUGAGAUCGUAUCAUCCACCAUAUCCUUCGUCUAGGGUUUAAGGAGUUUUUGUUGCUUCUAAUGUUUCUAAGUCAUCAUAUGCUAUAGAGUAAAAAAGAGCUCCGCAUUGUUACCUUAUGAGCUCAAUGUCGUUUCAAGUAUUUCUUACUCGAGUGCACAUUAUUCCUUUCAAUUUAUUUUUAGGUUCAAACAAUACAAUCUGGUUGUUUAUACUUACAUGCAUAUUUCAUCUUUUCUAAUGU